AGUGAUUAGGUUUAGUGCCACUCCCUCGCAAAAAAACUCUUGAUACCCUUUUCCUGUCACCGAGACGCAGAGAAGAGGCAGCGUCUCUCUUAGAGCAGACUCUCACCAGAGGACGCUGCGUUUGGAAUGUAGUCACAUGGAGAAACACCCUCAAUGUGCCAGCAAACAAAAGCAUUUUUCAGGCAUGAACUACGGAAGGUCUCCGUAGAAUUGCCUCUGGACAUUCUCAGGGAGUUGCCGUUCACAUGUGACGAACGCAGCGGGAGAUUGUGCGAGGGGAACAUUUCCAGAUGAUUCUGUGGCGUCUGGGUAGAGGUUGCAGGAGACGGGACAUGGCGAUAAUUCGAGUUUUUGGUUACAGUCAAAUAAAAAAAACGGAGCAACAUUUGCCAAAAUUUGUGGUUCUCACUUACAGCCCCUCCGGAAAAGUUCAGGAGCAAUCUGAUGAAUUUAACCUGAUACAGCUACAUUGUAUGUUUUUAAUAUUCUAAUUAUAUUUGACUCCUCACAUUCGUCCCAACAUCCCUAAUUUACACCGGCCGUUAAAAUCCAGUUUUUUAAUGAUCCGAAUGAAAUCAGACAAUUGGACCACAAGUGCAGGUGUGAAACCCUUGAGACGCAUCGAGGACGGAUUGUGAUAAUAACGCCAAUAAAAACCUGUUAUUCUGAGAUUGAGUGUCAAAUGUAAUGUCGUAUUAUGGUGAAGUUCUUUCGAGCACUUUUACAAAAUUACGAACAUGAAAUUUGAGGGAAAUCACUGAAUGUGAAUAUGAUAUUGACACAACAAUGGUGAUGGAAACAUUCUAAAAAGGAGGGAGAAUCUUUCACGUGACCGAGCGGUUGAGUUCUUAUGCUCCACCUUCACCCGGAUGAUCAUGUGAUCUCGUGUCUUCUUACACAGUGUCACAUACUGAACAGUUAUGUGUGAGUCACUAACAUGCUCGUCACAGUCCUUCAUCUGUCCCUUCUCCUCCACUCAGGUCUCGCUGUUGUGGUUCUGCAGUCCCGAGAUCGGGUGUUUCGCCCAGGAGCCGCAGUGACGCUGGAGUGCGGCCUGGGUGCAGGCUUCAGCAUGGGCAGCCAGACCAUGUUCUGGUACCGACAACAGCGCUCCGGAGCGCCGGUCGAGUUCCUCACCAGAGAAUACGACGAGAGCGCGGGGCACUUCCAGUCGUCCAUCGACACGUCCAAAAACAGCUUCCCUCUUCAGAUCGCCGAGCUGCUCCUGAACGACAGCGGCGUCUACUACUGUGUCGCCAGUCACAGUGAUGCACACAGAUCAGAGCGUCAGACAAAUACCAAGUGUAACACACGACAUGCAGGCAGGAAGGAGCUGUGGCUUGUUUGGGUUUUUUUCUAUACGGUAAAAACGUAUGAUAAGGUCUGUGACACACUGAUCCAAUAUUGGGCUCUAUGGAUUCAGUUUAGUAAACGUACUGUCCAUAAAGUGGAAGUUGCACUGAUCUUUUUUUAACCUCCUUUUCCUGGUGUGCAGCACUUGUUGCAGCCUGUUUCAGGUGGAAAUUGUUUCUCCACCUUUAAGCCGGCAGUAAAAGUAGUCACAGAGGGAAACUUCAUAUUGUAUUUGGUCGUGCCCUGAACAUCAGUAUGAUGAAGGUCACAAUCCAACAACGAAGAAUUAGAGUUUUGGGAAGCAUUUCAAAUUCCUUUCAGUCUUUAUCGUCCUUUGUGCUUCAAGCGGAAAAAUCUACAACUAAAAUCUGAGACGUUUAUGUCCAUGUGCAGUAAUCUGAUCUUCAUGUCAAACGGUCUGAUCUGUUAAAAACUGCUGGUCUCUGACGAUGGGAACAGAGGCUGACUACCUAGAGUUGCUGCUCAGUGAGCAUGAGUGAGGUCAAAGAUUUCCUAGUAAAACAAAAACAGAAAGGAAGGGGAGGAGCUUAUGGAAACAUUUUGAUCGUAGCAGUACAGUUACACCCACAGUUAAAUUGUCAGUGAAGCUGGGUGGACGGCUCUGAUUCUCUGGGGUUUUUUAUUUGGAUCAUCCCUGUGACAAUGAACAUCUUCAUGGUCUUGGUUUCCCUUAUAAUCUUCUCCAGUACGAACAUUUAAAUUGAGUUGCUUUUAUCUAUCUUAGCUCAGAUCUACGUAUUUGUUCAUUUAAAAUGUCGCCGUUUCCUUGUCUUCCAGAUUCCGCCUUCUGCGUCCAAAUUCGCCAACCUCCGUUUGUACUCAGGCAGCGGCGCGGCGGUGACCCUGCAGUGUGACCAAGACGACGCUCAGUAUGACAACAUGUACUGGUACAGACAGAGAGGCGGCGAGGAAAUACAGCUAGUCACGUAUUCUAUAGGCAACCUCAGGAUCAAACCACGGAGGGGAAGGUG